AAAUAUACUGACGAAUUAUGUGUAUUCAAGUUCCAUAAUAUUCCAUCCCUUUUGAUAUUCGGCUGAAUAUUAGCAGCUAGCUAAGACCCUCAGCUCAGAACUCAUAAUUUUAUCCGAUUAUAAAAUCGGUUUCCUACAAGAAUAGCUAAAUUUAAGUUUGCAUCUUGAUUGCAUUUCGUAUAAAAUCAGGUUUAAUCAAAACCGGUCAACAGCAAUUACCACUACAUUCAUUUCUUGACAUGCGACACCUUUGUGUACGCAUCAGGAAUUUUUGCCCGUUUCUUUUUCAUAUAAACCCCAUGGAAGCGCCAGUGUGAAAAACCUCCGUCAUCCGUUGUUCACGCCUUUUAACAUUUGCAUCCCAUACCACCCCGACUACGUCAUUUUGGCUAGUUCUUGCAGUUGCAACCGAACACGUACGAGCGCAGGGCAUGUAAAGCCGGACCAUAAAAUACAAUGGCAGACAAGGGCAACCUUAAUAUACCAAGAUCAUUUCCGAUUGUUUACUACAUCGAUAUUCUGUGCAAAAUUCUACUACCGGUGAACGUCACAAGUAUAUUUUGCUCUGCUUUUAUAUUGUACGACCUUUAAUUGACUGAUUUCAUAUGAGAACCAUUACAGACCAUUCAGGAUCGAUUUAUAUACCAUAGAUGAAAAGCAAAAUUUUUAAAACAGAAGACACCGAUAUUAUCGGAUGGUUGCAGUACAGUGUGACUGGCGCCAAAUUCAAACGAUAUUUCUUUUUAAUAUUUUUUAAUAAAUAAAACUAACUAAA